AUCGCUUCUCGGCCUUUUGACUAAGAUCAAGUGUAGUAUCUUAUAUAUUUAUUGCUAUAUAUUUGAAUAUAUAUUUGUUAAAAGUAUAUAAUUGUACAUUUGGCUAUGCAAAUUCGUUAAAUAAAUUUACCAAGGCCACCCAAAGCAUAAAGGUCAUCCCAGCUGCCUUGCUAAAGCAAACAGGG